GUGCUUGCUUUGGCAGUAUAUAUACUAAAAUUGGAACAAUAUGGAGAAGAUUAGCAUGGCCCCUGUGCAAGAAUGACACACAAAUUUGUGAAGCAUUCUAUAUUUUU